ACAAGUAUGAAGAGAAUGUCGGGAGAGGAAGUGGUGGCUAUGAGUCAGCAUGAGUCAUCUCGUUCCAAUGAGAAUGAAGGCUGAGGUGUGCGCCUUUUUUUUUUUUCCUUCUUAGUCGUGUGUACAUCAUUGGGAAUGGAGGGAAAUAAAUGACUGGAUGGUCGCUGCUUUUUAAGUUUCAAAUUGACAUUCCAGACAAGCGGUGCCUGAGCCCGUGCCUGUCUUCAGAUCUUCACAGCACAGUUCCUGGGAAGGUGGAGCCACCAGCCUCUCCCUGACAAGCAAAGUGGAUCAGCAAAGGCUGCAGUCACCAGCAUCUUUUCCAACCUUAAUGAACUGUAUCCUCAAAAGAACACUAUCAGACUGGCUCUGCCGACUUCCAGUUCUGGAACAAGAUGGUUAAACUCAUUUUUCCCUGCUCUGCUCCUCUAAAUACAACUAAGUACCUUGGAAACUAUUCAGCAGACAAUGAUAAAGGGCUCUGAAAGCUAGAAGAAAAGGUGUACUUGCAAGAAACCUCAGGACUUGAGUAACAGCAACAUGGCAGGCCAGAAAGCAGACCCAGGGAGGAUAGCACAUGUCUUCGGCUACACUGGUGAAGGCAUCGUGCCUGCUCCACAGCACAUUUUUAUUCAAGUCUUGGACGAGCCUGAGGAUGUCUACAAGUGGAAGAAAAGAAGCCACUGGAGCAGAAGGUGGGGAGGAUAAAAUUUGGAGCAAGAUUCUCAAGGAAGCAACAAGAUCCUAAGGAAAGGAGAAAGAGACUACCUACUGCAUUUCUGUCACUCGCUGAAAAGGACACUCUGUCAGAAAAUCUUCUAGCAAACUUCAAAGGGCAAAAUCACCCCUUGUUACUGAUAAAGCCCAGAGAGCUUCAGCAGCUAACAUUCCCUGGACAGGGCACAGCAAGGAUUUGAACCUAGGUCAGUCUGGCCAGAACACCCACAAGCUUUCCUUAACUCAGUGUGCUAUCUCCCCACGACUAGGUCACUACUGCUUUAUAAUCACCUUUGUAGCCACCAGUGGAUUUUGCUCAUCAGUAUUUUUCAGGCAAUUGAUACUUUAGAUAUUCAGCUGCAAGACGUAUGCAGUUUUCAUUGACAUCUUUUGGAGAAACUGACAAACCUGGACUUGACUUAAUGCCUUUGGAACCUUCCAAGAUGUUAUAUAACUCUAGAUAGAAGGCUGGGCCUCCAUGAUGUCAGGAAUGUUGCAUUCUUAUUUCCCCAUAGAUAAACCCAUUUGUCCACAAAGUCAAGGAGUCAGGCAGAGGCCCUUGCCAUGGGGCUUUUUAGGAUAAAGCAACAAGCCUGGACUUUGCUCUACAACAGGGUUUUGCAUAGGGAGUGGUAUGACCAGAUCCCUCAAGAAAGAAAGCUUAGAGACCAGGCCAGAGUCCACUGCAGUAGCCCAGUCAAGAGAGGAUGGUGACUUGGACUUGUAGUAGAGCCAGUUAGAAUGAAAGAAAUUGACACAUUCAGAAAUGGUUUUAGAGAUAGAGUCAAACUGGACCUGAUAAAGAACUAGAGAAGCGGAGUGAGGAUAAAGAGAAGAGCCAUGACUGACUCGGAAGAUUUUGUCUUGAAAAACUUGAGAACUCAAGACAGAGUGAAAUAAAAUCACAUGUGGGAAAAAUCUAAAAAAAAAAAAAAAAA
rnacentral:lncRNA from 1 species